AUAUUAUUAAGCGGAGGAAAAGAAACUAACAAGGAUUCCCUUAGUAACGGCGAGUGAAGCGGGAACAGCUCGAAAUUAAAAUCGGGUACCCCAACAGGUGCUCGAGUUGUAAUCUAAAGACGUACUGUCAGCGCGUGACCCGGGUAUAACUCUUUUGAAACAAGGGAUCAUAGAGGGUGACAAUCCCGUCUGUGACCCGGAGUUCGCCGCAUACGACGUGCGCUCUAAGAGUCGAGUAGCUUGGGAUGCUGCUCAAAUUGGGUGGUAAACUUCAUCUAAAGCUAAAUAUUGGCCAGAGACCGAUAGCGCACAAGUA
rnacentral:rRNA from 1 species